AGGAGGAACAGCCCCAGUGGCGGGGCCGCUCUGGAAACCUGGAUUCAGCUCCGGCAGGAACUCCGGAGCUCUCCGUCUGCAGGGCCUGGAGGCUCCGGGCGGGG
rnacentral:pre_miRNA from 1 species